rnacentral:rRNA from 1 species
UUUGGGAGACGGAGGCUCAGAGGUAACGUUAUCAUGUUAUGAGGCAGGGGUCUCUCUCUGCGUUCUGGCAAGCCCCAAAGCGUGCCAGUUUGUUCUUCCGCGGCGGGGGCCUCUUAGAGGAUGGUGAGGGGCCGACUCGCUCGCUCGCUGGCCGCCGCCUCGUACCUCCGGUCCAUGCGCCUCGACGCCGCGCGCCACCUCCUGUGCGGCCGCCACCUGCGCGUGCGCGUGUUGGAGCAGCUGUGCCGGAGGAGGGAGGGGAAGGAGGCGACGAAGAGGCUCCGGCUGCCGCUGCGCGAGCGGAAGCGAGGGGUGAGGGAGAGGAAGUUCUCUUCGGAGUUCCUGUAGCGGCGUAACAUGCCGACACUUCGGAGUGAACUGUUCCACCUUCUCAAGUCUUUCCGGGUUCCCAACAGUAGAUAGCGAAGUUUUACGAAGGUUCGACGGUUAUAUAGUCGCUAAGAGCACCUACUGCCGGAUCAUAAACUAUUUUACGAACUCGACCUUCGGGUGUUCCUUAAACAGGGGUGUCAGCCGUCUCAAGACUCUUAGCUUACCGACCGCCUUUGCUAAUAAUUGCUGCUAAGUAAGUCACCUAGUUCGACCUGCAACCUGAGUAAGUGACUUUGAAAACACCGAUUCGAGUUUAGUCAACGGUCGUUUUAACAACCCAACUUUUCGUAACGACGUAUGUCUUCACCGAAUCUCUAACUAGGUACACAAUCGUUCUGUCUACGUCUCCUACCAGAGGCAUUCCUCGAUUGUCCCGUUUCUGGAGAAGCCUAAUGUUUAUUCUCGGAGUAGCUGAUAGAUAAAUGAACAUCAGAACUAUAACGACACGUCACAGUGAAUGGUUACGUCUAAGUGUGUCCGAAACCUCUAUUUCUGGACCUGAACGCCUUCACGUUAGGAGAUGUAGAGGCACGACAAGAACUCCUACUUUCUAAGCAGUUCACGGUCAAUCAGGAAAAUGUACGAAGAAUAGGUAUAAGAUUCCUUCGUAGGAUAGAACGUAGACAAAUGAGGGUCCAGAUGGAACUAAAGCCAAACCGUUAAGGUUUUGAUUCACAAGUUCCUUACCACAGUAGUGAAUUUCUCGAAGACCUCGAUCGAGGGUAUUUGUUCCAGUACAAGUCAAGUCUACCUAUACGAAAAGGCCUCUGUAUGAUAGAUCCAAGGUCUUCCCGUGCACUACAACAAAUGGCACAGGAUAGUCGACGUACACUUCUACCACUAGAAUCGUAAGUCCUUCGAUGUCUACGUCAACUCCUGUAGAAAUCUUCUUUACGUAGUCUAGACAUAUUCAACUUGCAACGGUUACCCAGUUAAGUGGUCUUUUGAUACUAUCGACUGUCAUCCUAUCGUAGUAGAACACAACUCGUUCUACACGAAAAACAAGCGUAGCAGACCUUACUACGAAGUCCGGUUGUAUCUACGGCGCAACAGGGUCGGCCUUCCAAAAUACUCUAACGUUCCUUAUUCCCACAACCGGACUGAAAACGUAGUUACCCUUACUGAAGGAAAACACUGCCGGGUCGACUACCCUGUUUGGAAUGACCACAUCCGCUCUAGUCCGAAUACGGUCUAUACAGCUGUGAAAACUCUGAGGGUACCAGUUGUGCACUCCUUUACCACUAUCGACUGUACGUUUAAUCCGGACCUCUUCGGACCCUUAUGACAGGAUCUAUACGGAAUUCUUUUCAGUGUUUUCAAGACGACCUACUUAAGUUACACUGUUACUUCCGUCCAAAACUCUUACUUAAAAUAGAGGCGUCUUUUAAUCAUUCACUCCCUGUACUCGCAACCCAAGGUAUACUAUUAUCGUCAAUGACGAGUUGGAGUAGUAAACUACCACGGAGUAGAUAUGAUGUUCUUCACAUAAGAAGAGAAUUUCACCGUUUAUAACACCAACUCGUCGACGUACGGCUUCGACCUUUUCCCGUCAAGCUCCAACGGAACUUCAUACAGGACACGUGAGAACGACGACUGUUAAACUAUAUACGAGCGCUCUAAUAAUUUAGGCAACGAGCUUUCGUACCCAACUAUCGUUGCAAAGAAGGUUUUGGACUGGACUUACUAUAACCUAGCCCAAGGGUACACGUAGACUCAAAUACCUUCUUACUAGUCUUACAAAAAUACCCUAGUUUACUUAUGUCGGUGAUACCUUACAGUUUGCAACCUCUUGUCAAGGAACGACCUCAUAUGGUAGUAGAAGGUAGUUAGAACCGUAAAUGACGAGGAGUGGGAUUGUCGAUGCUAGCAUAAGUCGGUUUAUGUACCUCACCUCGAAUGGAUACGACCCCCUUUCUUUUGGCCCUCCGAGGUAACUCUUGGCGUACGGGUGGACCACACGGAGAGCUGUACCAGUCGUUGAAGCUUUAAUUUAGUAAACUACCCACGCGUUUAGGCGUGAACCCCGAACGACGAUAACAGCGACGACCCUAACUACCUGAAUCCUUUCCGGAAUUCAACGGACUUGGUUAACUUAGUUUAGGACGUCUAAUACGAUGGUUUGAAUUUUCCGAUGGUGUCCUGGAAGACCUUAGACAUCUUAGUGAACGACGUCUGUUUUGAAACGUAGUCGAUUAGCCGCUAUUCGAAUAAUGUCGGUAAUAGCGACAUGCGUUCCGACUCUAACUAGUGAUGAGCUUCUUGGGACCCCGUAAACCGCUAGAGUAAGUGGCAAUGAUUCUGUCUUAUGAACAGAGUUCUGGUGAAAGAGCAAUUCGGCUGUUUAUUACAACGGGUGCUUAAUGACUAAGAGUAGUGACUUAAACGUCAGCAACCACAAAGAAGUCAAUUAUUAUUUCACGAAAAUCUUA